rnacentral:tRNA from 1 species
GUUCUUGUAGUUGAAUACAACGGUGGUUUUUCAAUUCAUUAGUCCUGGUGAAAGUCCUGGUGAGAACU